UACGUAGGGUGCAAGCGUUAAUCGGAUUUACUGGGCGUAAAGGGCGCGCAGGCGGCGCAUUUUGUCAGGCGUGAAAGCCCCGGGCUUAACCUGGGAACUGCGUUUGAUACGGAUGGGCUAGAGUUCGGGAGAGGAGAGUGGAAUUCCCAGUGUAGAGGUGAAAUUCGUAGAUAUUGGGAAGAACACCGGUGGCGAAGGCGGCUCUCUGGACCGAGACUGACGCUGAGGCGCGAAAGCGUGGGGAGCAAACAGG
rnacentral:rRNA from 1 species